rnacentral:rRNA from 1 species
AACGAACGCUGGCGGCAGGCCUAACACAUGCAAGUCGAGCGCCCUUUCGGUGGCGCGGCGGACGGGUGAGUAACGCGUGGGAAUAUGCCCUUCUCUACGGAAUAGCCUCGGGACACUGAGAGUAAUACCGUAUACGCCCUGUGGGGGAAAGUUUUAUCGGGGAAGGAUUAGCCCGCGUUGGAUUAGGUAGUUGGUGGGGUAAUGGCCUACCAAGCCGACGAUCCAUAGCUGGUUUGAGAGGAUGAUCAGCCACACUGGGACUGAGACACGGCCCAGACUCCUACGGGAGGCAGCAGAGGGGAAUCUUAGACAAUGGGGGCAACCCUGAUGGAGCCAGGCCGGGUGAGUGAUGAAGGCCGUAGGGUAGUAAAGCUCUUUCAGCUGGGAAGAUAAUGACGGUACCAGCAGAAGAAGCCCCGGCUAACUCCGUG